GGUUGCGGACAGUGUCUGGUGGGUAGUUUGACUGGGGCGGUCUCCUCCUAAAGAGUAACGGAGGAGCACGAAGGUUGGCUAAUCCUGGUCGGACAUCAGGAGGUUAGUGCAAUGGCAUAAGCCAGCUUGACUGCGAGCGUGACGGCGCGAGCAGGUGCGAAAGCAGGUCAUAGUGAUCCGGUGGUUCUGAAUGGAAGGGCCAUCGCUCAACGGAUAAAAGGUACUCCGGGGAUAACAGGCUGAUACCGCCCAAGAGUUCAUAUCGACGGCGGUGUUUGGCACCUCGAUGUCGGCUCAUCACAUCCUGGGGCUGAAGUAGGUCCCAAGGGUAUGGCUGUUCGCCAUUUAAAGUGGUACGCGAGCUGGGUUUAGAACGUCGUGAGACAGUUCGGUCCCUAUCUGCCGUGGGCGCUGGAGAACUGAGGGGGGCUGCUCCUAGUACGAGAGGACCGGAGUGGACGCAUCACUGGUGUUCGGGUUGUCAUGCCAAUGGCACUGCCCGGUAGCUAAAUGCGGAAGAGAUAAGUGCUGAAAGCAUCUAAGCACGAAACUUGCCCCGAGAUGAGUUCUCCCUGACCCUUUAAGGGUCCUGAAGGAACGUUGAAGACGACGACGUUGAUAGGCCGGGUGUGUAAGCGCAGCGAUGCGUUGAGCUAACCGGUACUAAUGAACCGUGAGGCUUAACCUUACAACGCCGAAG
rnacentral:rRNA from 1 species